rnacentral:ncRNA from 1 species
GUACGCCGGGUGCGCUGAAAGGUGCACGCCCGGCGUGAGGUGGGGGAAAACUUGGAGAUUACUUCAAAAAGUUACCUAUCACAAC